rnacentral:misc_RNA from 1 species
GUCAAAGCCACAUGUGAUUUUCCUUGAUGUAGGCAUGACUGCUGAACUUUCUCAGAACGAUAAGUUGAAUUUGCUUGAAUUCUUUAAGGCUGUUGCUCGUCGAGAUGGUUCCACUGCAGCGCAGUGCACUUUAAAUCUAUCAAAGAAGCAGAAUUGCCCUAAUCCAGACGCCUUCAUUAAGGAAGUGAAAGAGUCUUUUGAUUUUUGGGGGACUCCGGAAGGAGAUUUAGUCCAUCCUGGGGACUGCAUGACGCAACUACUUGAACAAGUUAGGCGUCACAGAGUGAACAUUGAUGGCAAUGUGUGCACUGCAAUGGUUACAACUUUAGUCCUGGAGGGCUGGCAACGGAAACUUGAUCCAGAAUACAAUAUAAUGCACACACUACAGACGUUGCUUCUCAAAGCCGACUGGGCAAAGGAUCUUUCCUACACAAUCG